CACAUCCAUGAGGGAAGAAUCAUUCCCAUUUAACAGACAAUGUAACUGGGCCUGAAUAUAGCUCAGCGACUUGCCCCAGGCCCACCAGGAAGUGGAUAAAGCCAUGCUCAACCCAGCACUUCUUCUCUCUACCUUCCACCGAUCCUGCCUGCUCAUCUUCCCUCCUUGGUGAAGGCAUGUGUGCUGUGCUCUGCUUAACUAAUUUCCCUCAGAUAUUCGCAUUUCUGUCUUUACAAUUUGGCAUCCCAGUGAGGUUUCCCUUUGUAUAUUUUCCGGUUCCUAUAUUCCCAUUAUUCAGGUAUCAUCACUCAAUAACCAUUUGACAGCAGUAAUGCUUUUCACAUGGAAAGAAUUGGGUUUUUAUUGAUGGCAAAUGUUGUGAUGAACUUUCAUGCCCACUUGGAGCCGGAGCACUUUUUUAUAGAAUGAACCACAAUGAGAAGCGUUUCCAAGAAAUGUCUUUGGAGUGUGGACUGAGAUGUACGUUUAGGAACAGGUCCUGUGGCCAGAGUGGGGAGAGAGGGGGCUUCCCAUUGUCAAAAUCUCAUCAAUCAAAAUGUAUAAUAGCAACAUUAUUAAUAACCCUAUAGUUGCAUUGCACUUGGUGCUCUUCCAAGCACUUCCCUAGAAUCCUAAAAUGAAGGCAGGGCAGAUAUUAUAUCCAUGUUACAGGUUAAACAACAUUGUAACAGGACUGAUAACACCAUGAAUGAGAAGUCAUUUGAUCAAUGGAGAGCCAGUUAUUAAACAUUUACCAACAUGUGCAAGAACGGGUUUCAAGGCCGAGGUGGGCAGAUCACAAGGUCAGGACUUUGAGACCAGCCUGGCCAAUAUGGUGAAACCCCAUUUCUACUAAAAAUACAAAAAAAUUAGCCAGGCGUGGUGAUGCAUGCCUGUAAUCCCAGCUACUCGGUAGGCUGAGGCAGGAGAAUUGCUUGAACCCGGGAGGCGGAGGUUUGCAGUGAGCCAAGAUCGCGCCACUGCACUCCAGCCUGGCAACAGAGCAAGACUCCGUCUCAAACAAAACACAGCACAACAAAACAAAAAAGAACGAGUUUCAUAGUGAGAAACAGCGGAGAAACCAGCUUACCUGGUGGGCCUUGAGUGGCCCCUACAAACUCCAACCUGUUCAAGACUCAUUUGCCACGUUGUACCUUCCAGCCAAGGCAAUCCCCCCAGCCUGAGCUACUUCCCAGACCAGACCACAGAAGCAAGGCCAUGCUCACCGAGGACCCCACUUGUGGACUAGACUUCUGUCCUGCUGUGGCCUCAAAAGCAAUAGCCAGGGCCCCAUGAUGAAGCUGCCAUCAGAAGCACAGGUGUGCCUGGCAAGGACACAGGAGGACCACGGCUCCAUGCCGAUGAGAAUGGCAGCUAAGUCUGAAGCUUUCUAUGAUUUAGAUUCCUGGUUGCGAGAGGGAGCCUAUAGGAAUGGCGAGAAGAGUGAGAACUUUGCAGAGGCAGCAAGCUAGGAUUUUCUCUUUGGGUCACCGCGUGUUCUUUGGGGUCAUAUAAAGUACUCUGCUCAAGAACAAAGGCCAGUGUGGCUAUGAUGAAAAUGCAUUGACAGAGGGGCUUCAAUGUCUAUGGAACAGAAACAAGAGCCCUGGACCAAGAGGAGGAAAUGUGGAUUCACCAACAUGUUGAAAAUCAUUCUAACAUCUCCAGGCCUCAGCGUGGUCAUUCACAAAUGGAAUUCAACAAUUUCUAAGGCAACUUUUCUAACAUUUUGGAGAUAAAAAAUUUAAUGUUUAGUAAGUGCUUAUCCUGUGGCAAGCACCAUGCAAGAUCCUUUAAAUUUUUAAUUCUUUAAAAAAAAUCCUGAGCAGCACAACUGUGCAUUUCUCAUAUCACCAAUGUGUGUAUUAGAAAACGGAGGCCCAGUGAGAUAGAGUCCCAUGGUUGAGAAGUAGAGGGGCAGAAUUCUAGAAUCAACAUUGCCAUCCCCAAGAAACGCUGGCUCCCCUCUGCCUCCGCAGCAUUUCCCACACCUCAUGCCCAGAGGCUUUCACAGUCUGGUUCUUCAGUCUCUAAUCCUUCAUAGUUAGAAGGGAGGGUCGUAACUGCAUUCCUUUGUACUGUCAUCAGCUACUUAAAGUGGCAAGAAACAAUAGCCUCUUUCUCUGGAGAGUCCCAGCUCUGCUUUCCUGGAAGGGUUGCUCUUUGGACCCUGCUGGAUCUCUGAGUGAUGGCCAGGGCAGCCCCCAGGUGCACUGGGAAGUUCAGAGGACUCCUGCCACCUAGCACUUCCCUGCAGAUCUUGAAACGUAAAGUGAUGUGAGUCCCUAUUUCCCCCUUACCAAGGCUCCCUCAACUGCCGGUUAUUUGACAUAUACUCAGUCUAUUACAGGACUCAAGAAAGCAUAUAAUGACUCCAUUCACAAAACACUAAGGACUCAUCUUUUCCUGCCAAACACUCACUUUCCUUAUCACCAUGAUGCUUCCUAUCCUUGUGUCUUGACGAAGAGGUGUCUGCCUGUGCAGGGAUGCCUCAUGCCCAAAAUCUCUUCUCCUUGUACACCUGUUACUGAUGCUGGAACCCUGAAAUAAUCACCAGAUGUUCACUAAGUCCCACUGCAAUCAGCGCUGAGAGGGAUCAUUGAGAACCAUGAUAUCUAAGAGGAAUCAUUGCAAAGUGAUUAAGAUCAUGGGCUUCC
rnacentral:lncRNA from 1 species